rnacentral:rRNA from 1 species
UACGUAGGGGGCGAGCGUUGUCCGGAUUUAUUGGGCGUAAAGAGCUCGUAGGCGGCUUGGCAAGUCGGGUGUGAAACCUCCAGGCUCAACCUGGAGACGCCACUCGAUACUGCCAUGGCUAGAGUCCGGUAGGGGACCACGGAAUUCCUGGUGUAGCGGUGAAAUGCGCAGAUAUCAGGAGGAACACCGGUGGCGAAGGCGGGUCUCUGGGCCGAUAUUGACGCUGAGGAGCGAAAGCGUGGGGAGCGAACAGG